rnacentral:rRNA from 1 species
UGUACUCUGUGUACGGGAUGAUUGAGCGUUGCUGAUAACGCAGCGUUUUUGACGUUACCGUAGUAGAAAGCCCCAGCUAACUACGUGCCAGCAGCUGCGGUAAUACGUAGGGGGCAAGCGUUGUCCGGAAUCACUGGGCGUAAAGCGCGCGCAGGCGGUGGAAUAAGUCAGACGUGAAAGGGUUCGGCUCAACCGAGCCAUUGCGUUUGAUACUGUUUCACUUGAGUCUAGAAGAGGAAAGUGGAAUGUAUGGUGUAGCGGUGGAAUGCUUAGAUAUCAUAUAGAACACCCGUGGCGAAGGCGGCUUUCUGGUCUAAGACUGACGCUCAUGCGCGAAAGUUUGGGGAGCAACCGGGAUUAGAUACCCCGCUAGUCCUUACUGUAAACGAUGGGUACUAAGUGUAGGGGGUGUUGAUUCCCUCUGUGCUGUAGCUAACGCAUUAAGUACCCCGCCUGGGGAGUACGGCCGCAAGGUUAAAACUCAAGGUAAUUGACGGGGGGCCGCACAAGCGGUGGAGCAUGUCGCUCAAUUCGACGCACGCGAAGAACCUUAUCCAGGGCUUGACAUCGCAGUGACUGCUAU